rnacentral:rRNA from 1 species
UACGUAGGUGGCAAGCGUUGUCCGGAUUUAUUGGGUUUAAAGGGUGCGUAGGCGGCUUUGUAAGUCAGUGGUGAAAUAUGGCAGCUUAACUGUCAGGGUGCCAUUGAUACUGCGGAGCUUGAGUACAGAUGAGGUAGGCGGAAUUGACGGUGUAGCGGUGAAAUGCAUAGAUAUCGUCAAGAACACCUAUAGCGAAGGCAGCUUACUAGGCUGUAACUGACGCUGAGGCACGAAAGUGUGGGGAUCAAACAGG